UGGGCAAAACCUAGCCAAUUGGCCUUAGC
rnacentral:piRNA from 1 species